rnacentral:rRNA from 1 species
AUGUUAUCACGGGAGACACACGGCGGGUGCUAACGUCCGUCGUGAAGAGGGAAACAACCCAGACCGCCAGCUAAGGUCCCAAAGUCAUGGUUAAGUGGGAAACGAUGUGGGAAGCCUGUGAGGGUUGCUGGAGGUAUCAGAAGUGCGAAUGCUGACAUAAGUAACGAUAAAGCGGGUGAAAAGCCCGCUCGCCGGAAGACCAAGGGUUCCUGUCCAACGUUAAUCGGGGCAGGGUGAGUCGACCCCUAAGGCGAGGCCGAAAGGCGUAGUCGAUGGGAAACGGGUUAAUAUUCCCGUACUUGGUGUUACUGCGAAGGGGGGACGGAGAAGGCUAUGUUGGCCGGGCGACGGUUGUCCCGGUUUAAGCGUGUAGGUGUGUGUUCCAGGUAAAUCCGGUUCACUUUAACACUGAGGCGUGAYGACGAGGCACUACGGUGCUGAAGCAACAAAUGCCCUGCUUCCAGGAAAAGCCUCUAAGCAUCAGGUAACAUCAAAUCGUACCCCAAACCGACACAGGUGGUCAGGUAGAGAAUACCAAGGCGCUUGAGAGAACUCGGGUGAAGGAACUAGGCAAAAUGGUGCCGUAACUUCGGGAGAAGGCACGCUGACACGUAGGUGAAGUGAUUUACUCAYGGAGCUGAAGUCAGUCGAAGAUACCAGCUGGCUGCAACUGUUUAUUAAAAACACAGCACUGUGCAAACACGAAAGUGGACGUAUACGGUGUGACGCCUGCCCGGUGCCGGAAGGUUAAUUGAUGGGGUCAGCGCAAGCGAAGCUCCUGAUCGAAGCCCCGGUAAACGGCGGCCGUAACUAUAACGGUCCUAAGGUAGCGAAAUUCCUUGUCGGGUAAGUUCCGACCUGCACGAAUGGCGUAAUGAUGGCCAGGCUGUCUCCACCCGAGACUCAGUGAAAUUGAACUCGCUGUGAAGAUGCAGUGUACCCGCGGCAAGACGGAAAGACCCCGUGAACCUUUACUAUAGCUUGACACUGAACAUUGAGCCUUGAUGUGUAGGAUAGGUGGGAGGCUUUGAAGUGUGGACGCCAGUCUGCAUGGAGCCGACCUUGAAAUACCACCCUUUAAUGUUUGAUGUUCUAACGUGGACCCGUGACCCGU